GCCACCACAUUGGCGAAUUGAACCAUGACAGAUCCCAAAAAGGCCACCCAGAAAGCUACAAGAGCCAAAGCAUAAAAACUUCCAUAGGCAACCGAAGUUCAAAAACAUCAAGAAGAGCUCGUGAAAAAUACAAACCGGAAGGUGACAGAGGAAGAGCGUGUGGUAAUGCUGGCCAUAGGGAAUUGGGUCAUCGGACAUAAAGGUGACUCUCCUGAGAUUCUGCUAUCGUUAUGUAGAUAAUCUUCCUAGUAAACAGAGUAAGAUCUCAA
rnacentral:lncRNA from 1 species